CCGAUGCCUAUUUAAACGAAAUGCCGGUUCCUGAUCGAUCAUCGAAGUUAAGCGACAUUACAUAGUGUGAGUGUUUGGAGGGGUAAACGACUAGAAUUCUUCGUCCCGCAGUUGUUGCAAGUAAGCAAAUCUUCUGAAACAACUGGAAGACUACUAAUAUCGAUAAAACAACAUUGGAGUACCGGAAGCCUAGAGAUCACUGGACAAAUUAUUGAAGGCUCAACACUUGGUCAAAUAAUAAAGUUCCCUAAAAUUCAAAUCUAUGGAAGUCCAAACCGAACUCUGAAGAAGACUACUGACUAAGAAGACUGGCGAUACUCAAGGUAUAUUAGCCCCAAAAUAGUUAGUUUUAACGUCAAUAGCUGCCCAUAGACUAUAUACUAAAACAUUUUUCCAUUUUCCCAAUUUUUGUUAACCGUGAUAUUCUUACAGAAACAAAAGCAUAAAUAUAUAUAUAAUCUUCAAUAUCGCCUAAAUUAUUCUCUUAAAAACAUUAUUGCAUCGAUAUUCAUUUUAAAACCUAUUUUAUAUAAUAUACACAUGGUCAACAAUUCGUAUAUAUCAAUUCAAUGGACAACGAAACGAUCGCUAGGACGUAGGCACGGUCAAUAUGGUGGACAGUUUGAGCAAAACUAGUGGGUUUCGGAUGAAUUAUGUUAACGGGGGGAGGUUCGACGAAUUCGUCGAAGUCUUCGACGUCGGUGAAUAUCAGCGAGGACGGAAUCCAUCGUAGUCUUUGUUAGAGGAAAAGCAGCAUGCGAAAUGUAAAUAGGUUAGUACGAUAAGCUAGACAAGAACUCCAGAAGUAUACCAAUUAAUGUGAAAACAGUUA